CAGUUUUCCAUGAUGUUACUUAUAAUAUCUCUUCUGCUUGGAAUGUCCUUUUCCCCUUGCCUGCUUCCCCUAAUUCUACUUGUCCUUUAAAGAAUGAGUUCAAGCCUCACCUCCAUAAACAUAUUGCCUGAUCAUCCAGUGGAGUUAAGAAACAUAGAUAUCCCACCUGGGUUUCUGGAUGUAGUAACGUUCUCUCUUUCCUCUAAACAGAAUAUUAAAGGCAGAAACUCAGCUGGGCACGAUGGCUCACUACUGUAAUCCCAGCACUUUGGGAGGCCGAGGCGGGCGGAUCACCUGAGGUCAGGAGUUCAAGACCAGC
rnacentral:lncRNA from 10 species